UCGGAAAAAGAACCAACAGGGUAUUGCCUCAGUAACGGCGAGUGAAGCGGCAAAAGCUCAAAUUUUAAAGCUGGCACUUCCGGUGUCCGCGUUGUAAUUUUGUGAGGCAUCUCCGGGUAGGGCGCCGGCCUAAGUUCCUUGGAACAGGACGUCAUAGAGGGUGAGAAUCCCGUGCUUGGCUGGCUGUCCCCGUCCAUGUGAGGUGUCUUCGACGAGUCGAGUUGUUUGGGAAUGCAGCUCAAAAUGGGUGGUAAAUUUCAUCUAAAGCUAAAUAUUGGUGGGAGACCGAUAGCGCACAAGUAGAGUGAUCGAAAGAUGAAAAGCACUUUGAAAAUAGAGUUAAAAAGUACGUGAAAUUGUUGAAAGGGAAGCGCUUGAGACCAGACUUCGGUGGGGAGUGAUCAGCCGUCCUUCUGGGCGGUGCACUUGCUCCCCUCCGGGCCAGCAUCGGUUGGGACGGCGGGAUAAAGGUCCCGGGAAUGUGGCUCCUUUCGGGGAGUGUUAUAGCCCAGGUGAAUGCCGCCAGCCCCGACCGAGGACCGCGCCUUCGGGCUAGGAUGCUUGGCAUAAUGGUCUUCAGCGACCCGUCUUGAAACACGGACCAAGGAGUCUAACAUCUAUGCGAGUGUUUGGGUGUCAAACCCUUACGCGAAAUGAAAGUGAACGGAGGUGGGAACCCGCAAGGGUGCACCAUCGACCGGUCCCGAAGUCUUCUGAAGGAUCUGAGUAGGAGCAUAGCUGUUGGGACCCGAAAGAUGGUGAACUAUGCCUGAAUAGGGUGAAGCCAGAGGAAACUCUGGUGGAGGCUCGCAGCGGUUCUGACGUGCAAAUCGAUCGUCAAAUUUGGGUAUAGGGGCGAAAGACUAAUCGAACCAUCCCUGUUGGGU
rnacentral:rRNA from 1 species